GUACAUGUUUACAUCAUAGCGUUAAUGCAUAAGAUCCCAUUAGAACUUCGUAGUUAAGCGUGCUCGGGCUAGAGUAGUAUUGGGACGGGUGUGUUGAUAUUAUGGUAGUUGCAGGAGGUAUUAACC
rnacentral:rRNA from 1 species